UACGUAGGCAGCGAGCGUUGUUCGGAGUUACUGGGCGUAAAGGGUGUGUAGGCGGUUCUUUAAGUUUGGUGUGAAAUCUCCCGGCUCAACCGGGAGGGUGCGCCGAAUACUGAGGGACUAGAGUAUGGGAUGGGAAAGUGGAAUUCCUGGUGUAGCGGUGAAAUGCGUAGAUAUCAGGAGGAACACCGGUGGUGUAGACGGCUUUCUGGACCGUAACUGACGCUGAGACACGAAAGCGUGGGUAGCAAACAGG
rnacentral:rRNA from 1 species